UGUCUUCCUUUGGCUUUGGUAUCAAGGUAAUGCUGGCCUCAUAAGCUGAAAUAGACUGAAAUUAACUGCAAUUGACCAUUAAAGGCUUUUCCUAGAAAUUGCAAGGCUGCAAUAGAAUCCAGAGUUCCAAAAGAGUUACAUCAGACUGAUUCUGCCAGAGCAAAUGUUGUCUAGGUGGGGAGACAGACAGAUUGCUGGUGCUUCCCAUUCCACCAUCUUCCCAGAAUCCUCCUGGUUGUUAUUUGUUUAUUCUUGUAAAUAUUUGCUGCAAAGCAAAGCUUUCCACCGGUGUUUUCAUAUAUAUAUUAUAUGCAUGUAUUCUCAAUAACAGAGAAGAAAAAUAGAAUUUCUGGCUUGGUGUGUGUGUGUGUGUG
rnacentral:lncRNA from 10 species